rnacentral:lncRNA from 1 species
GGGCCGGGCGGGCUCGGGGCGGCCGGGACGAGGAGGGGCGACGAGGAGCUGCGAGCAAAGAUGUGCCCCGGAACCCCCGGCACCUUCCAGUGGAUUUCCUUGCGGAAAGGAUGUUGGCGGUCCCUCUGACCUGUGGAGACACGGCCAGAUCUGCCCUCCAGCGGGAAGUGAGUGAUGACCUGAAGUGAGGGCUCAUCUCUAGAUCUCCAAGGGCUGCAGCUCAGCCAGCACUUUACAACGGUGAUCUGGAGCCAACCUGGCCUAUUGGCUGACUAUAGGCAACUCUGGGUAGCCCAUACCCAGGCUCAGCGGCAGUUGGGGAGCUGCCUCGAUUUCUGGUUACAGAAUUCCUGGGACUGAGUCACUGCAGUAAUUGCUGUGAUGAAUUGUGUUUACUUUGUGUGGGAUUCCAAAUUGUAGCAGCAGUGACUGCAGCUGGAAGACAGCAUGAUCAGCAGCUUCCAAGGCAGAGCCUGGCGUCAGAAAGCUGCAUUGCGCUAGUGCUGAAGCCUGUGGGAGCCUAUUAGAGAGACACUUGGAUGUUUAGCGAGCUGGUGACUCUCCUUGUCAUGAGCCUGAUCUUUUGGCCAGAAGGAGAUUAAAAGGAUGCCCCUCAAGAUGGCUGUGCCUGUCAGCUGCAUGGAGCUUCGUUCAAGUAUUUUCUGAGCCUGAUGGAUUUACAGUGAUCUUCAGUGGUUUGGGGAAUAACGCUGGUGGAACCAUGCACUGGAAUGACACACGUCCGGCACAUUUCAGGAUACUAAAAGUGGUUUUAAAGGAGGCCCUGGCUGAAUGCCUCAUGGAUUCUUACAGCUUGGAUGUCCAUGGGGGACGAAGGACCGCAGCUGGCUGUGAGGGUUGAGAUCUCUGUUUACUUAGAUCUCUGCCAACUUCCUUUGGGUCUCCCUAUGGAAUAUAAGACCCCGACUCUUCCUGG